rnacentral:tRNA from 1 species
GGAUUGUGGCUCAGCGGUAGAGCGCUCGCCUAGUAUGGACAGAAUCUGGGUUCGAUCCUCAGCACCA